AAAAGAAAAAAAAAAGGAGGCUCGUCGUCGUCUCUACCACGCGUUUAUCUUUCUUUAUUCCUUCCUUUCUUCCCUUAGAAUAGAACCCAACCCAGUCCCACUUUCAUUUUCCGUCCCUUUACCGGGAAUUCACUUUCCUAGAAACUGCACCAUCUUUUCCAUCCUUCCCACAUAUAAAUACCAGACCCCAUUUCUAAUUUCUUCAUCAUCCUUCCAAAUUCAACUCUUUGAAAUCUCUCGCAUUCACAUAAAUAUAGAUACACAUACAUAUAUAUAUAUAUAUAUUUAUAUUUAUAUUUAGUUUUCUUAAUUGAUUUUUUGUAAGAAUGAACACAGCCAUGAAAUCUUUUGCUCUUCCAAUUAUUGGGUUUAUUUUGUUGGCGCUUAUGAAUCUGAGUCAUGGACAGGACUUAGCUCCUUCUCCGGCACCUCAGGGUCCAGUCAAUGAUGGCACGGCUCUAGAUCAAGGGGUUGCUUACGUUCUUCUGUUGGUGGCUCUUGCAAUCACUUACCUCGUGCACUAAAAUUUCUAAAUUUCAUCUUACGAGCUUAUAAUAUAUAUACAUAUAUAUAGAGAUAAAUAUUGAUAUUUGAUUUUUUAUUCUGAUUCUUUGUGAAUUUUUCUCCUUGUAUUGCUGGAGGAGCGGUGCCUUUUGUACUAUGUGAAAAGAUUGAGAAUUAAUAAGAGAAGGUAUUGAUUCAGUUGGCAGUUUUAUUGCCUCAUAAA